CCGGCACUUCUGGCGGAGCUCCACGUCUUCCACCGCGCCUGCGCGCCCCCGCCCCGUCUCCAGGCCGACAGCGGCCCGCGGCAUGUCGCUGCCCGAGCCUCUGCGGCGCCGACUGGGCUCCUUCAGCCGCACCGUUUUCACAGACAGCCGCCGCGCCGGCCCGCAGUACCCCAGCGAGCGCGCAGGUCUGUCCCAGUUCUAUUCCCAAAUACUCCUCCCUUCCCAUCUAGUUUAGUAGCUUACCCUGAAUAAAUACUCCUGCAUCUGGCAUAAAGACUUCUGGAACAGAUUGUACCAGGCUGCAUGUGGCUGAACUGGAAACAGGAAUGCCAGACUGAGAUGGAACAAAACCAGAUAAUGAAAUACUUUCCAGUUUACCACUACAGAUGUCCCUCUAUUUCAACGUUUACUUUUUCCCAUUUUGGUGGCUCAGCACAGUUUUUAUGCUCCAGCUGAAGUAUCCAGUCUUGUCAGAUUACUACAAAUUCAUCCUGGUCACAGUCAUGAUCCUGACUUCUCUAAUAGAGGUCAUUCGACUCUACCUGGGAUACAUGGGCAACCUGCAGGAGAAGGUGCCUGAGCUGGCUGGGUUUUGGCUCCUGACUCUCCUUCUGCAGUUACCUGUAAUUCUCUUCUUGCUAUUUAAUGAAGGUCUGAACAUUCAGCCCUUGGAAAGAUCAGUUAAUAUCAUCUUUGCCCUCUUCCUCGUCUUCCAAGUUAUUGCAGCCUUUGUCACCCUGAAAAGAAUGGUAAACAAACUGGCAACUCACUUCCACCUUAAUGAAUUUGACAGGCUAGAGGAACACCCUGUGCGUCAUCUUUAUGGCCCAAGUAAAGAAGAGAAUGUACUUCCCAUGGCUAGUAUGGGUCCAUGCUGAGGAGCUUCAUACAACAAGUUCAGGCUGGGGAUCAAGCACUUAGGGCCUGAGACGAUAGCAGAGGCAGGCCUUAUGAUGCUACAGCUCUGUUCCAUUUUGUUGGGUCAUUAUCUCAAUUUCUACUUCAGAGACAUUAAGAAAUAGAUUGCAAGUGCCAACAUUAAACCUCAGAGUUGAGCUCCACUCUGCAAGAAAAAUCAAAGCCAGUGACUUAAGUUGCUGAGUGGACCAAUUCAUUUGCACACUGUUACUGAGUAAAGUACCUACAGGGUAGGCUUGGUGGUUUUAUAUCCUAAAAAGUCAUGUGCCCUUUCUAAAGAACAGAAGUCUAUUUUCCUAAGUGUUUGCACAGACAUACUUUGUUCACAAUAAAUCCUUUUCAUAUGUUUGUAUUUACAUCAGUUUUUUGUCUAUUCUUCCAGAUGCUGUAGAUAUUUAGUUAAGCAAAAACAAGAAAGAA
rnacentral:lncRNA from 1 species